AUGACAUGUGCUGUGGUUGAAAAGUCGAUGUCAGUCGCAGACCAAGCGAUCCACGUAAGGCAUCCAAAGCGAUGCUGAUCAUAGUGCGGCCUAGAAGUAAGACCUGACCGCGUAAAAAACGCGAGAGGGCCAGUAGUGGGGGACAAGACGUCUAUGAGCGAACGUCCCAGCAGGCGAGUGUGGGGGUAAAGACCAGGUCAGGCAUGUCGG
rnacentral:ncRNA from 12 species